UAAAAAUCUAAAAUCGUUUGAUAUGUUAUUGAGAUCGAUCAAGAUGAACAAUAUUCAAUAAAAACGCAUAAACCAUUAAUCUUGAUAACAUACCAAACGAUUUUAGAUUUUUGUAAAAAUUAAUAUGGAUGAUCUAUACGAUAUAAGCUUUCAAUCCAACGGUGGAUUUUGUAAAAUUUGUAUUCGUUAAAGCGUUAUUGAGCGGUGUAACAUUACUCAAAUGUUAC
rnacentral:lncRNA from 1 species